UUAGUUUUUAACCGAACCGGCUGAAUUAUCGACCUAUUUUAUCGGUUCAGUUUAAUAUCUGAUAUGUGGGUCAUUGGCCCACACAAUAUUAAAUUUAUUUUUUAAAGGGGAGGGUUCACCACAGUAGCUUGCUACUGCAACCGUCACGAGUCGCUUGAGCGUUGCACUACUACUCUAGCCUGGCUCACCCCUC